rnacentral:rRNA from 1 species
CCUACGGGGGGCAGCAGUGAGGAAUAUUGGUCAAUGGACGAGAGUCUGAACCAGCCAAGUAGCGUGAAGGAUGACUGCCCUAUGGGUUGUAAACUUCUUUUAUAUGGGAAUAAAAUGUUCCACGUGUGGGAUUUUGUAUGUACCAUAUGAAUAAGGAUCGGCUAACUCCGUGCCAGCAGCCGCGGUAAUACGGAGGAUCCGAGCGUUAUCCGGAUUUAUUGGGUUUAAAGGGAGCGUAGGUGGAUUGUUAAGUCAGUUGUGAAAGUUUGCGGCUCAACCGUAAAAUUGCAGUUGAAACUGGCAGUCUUGAGUACAGUAGAGGUGGGCGGAAGUCGUGGUGUAGCGGUGAAAUGCUUAGAGAUCACGAAGAACUCCGAUUGCGAAGGCAGUUCACUGGACUGCAACUGACACUGAGGCUCGAAAGUGUGGGUAUCAAACAGGAUUAGAUACCCUGGUAGUC